rnacentral:rRNA from 1 species
UACGGUGAAUACGUUCCCGGACCUUGUACACACCGCCCGUCAAGCCAUGGAAGCCGGGUGUACCUAAAGCCGGUAACCGGCAAGGAGCCGCCUAGGGUAAACUGGUGACUGGGGCU